rnacentral:misc_RNA from 1 species
GAUGAAGAACGUAGCAAAAUGCGAUAAGUAAUGUGAAUUGCAGAAUUCAGUGAAUCAUCGAAUCUUUGAACGCACAUUGCGCCCGCCAGUAUUCUGGCGGGCAUGCCUGUUCGAGCGUCAUUUCAACCCUCAAGCACAGCUUGGUGUUGGGACUCGCGUUAAUUCGCGUUCCCCAAAUUGAUUGGCGGUCACGUCGAGCUUCCAUAGCGUAGUAGUAAAACCCUCGUUACUGGUAAUCGUCGCGGCCACGCCGUUAAACCCCAACUUCUGAAUGUUGACCUCGAAUCAGGUAGGAAUACCCGCUGAACUUAAGCAUAUCAAUAAGCGGAGGA